rnacentral:rRNA from 1 species
CUUUACUGUAGCUUGGAAUUGGGUUCGGGCUUUGCUUGCGCAGGAUAGGUGGGAGACUAUGAAGUUGCUCUUGUGGGAGUAAUGGAGUCAACGGUGAGAUACCACUCUGGUGAGGCUAGAAUUCUAACUUGUUCCCGUUAUCCGGGAGAAGGACAAUUUCAGGUGGGCAGUUUGACUGGGGCGGUCGCCUCCUAAAAGGUAACGGAGGCGCGCAAAGGUUUCCUCAGGCUGGUUGGAAAUCAGCCGAAGAGUGUAAAAGCAGAAGGAAGCUUGACUGUGAGACUGACAAGUCAAACAGGGACGAAAGUCGGCUUUAGUGAUCCGACGGCUUGUGCGUGGAAAUGCCGUCGCUCAACGGAUAAAAGUUA